UGGGGUGUCGCCAAGCGGUAAGGCACAGGGGUUUGAUCUCUGCAUUCCCAGGUUCGAAUCCUGGCACCCCAGCCA
rnacentral:tRNA from 1 species